UACGUAGGGUGCAAGCGUUGUCCGGAAUUAUUGGGCGUAAAGAGCUCGUAGGCGGUUUGUUGCGUCGGCUGUGAAAUCCCGAGGCUCAACCUCGGGUCUGCAGUCGAUACGAGCAAACUAGAGUGUUGCAGGGGAGACUGGAAUUCCUGGUGUAGCGGUGAAAUGCGCAGAUAUCAGGAGGAACACCGGUGGCGAAGGCGGGUCUCUGGGCCUUACCUGACGC
rnacentral:rRNA from 1 species